rfam:Felis catus isolate Cinnamon breed Abyssinian chromosome A3, whole genome shotgun sequence.
GCCUGGGUGGCUCAGUUGGUUGGGCGGCCGACUUCGGCUCAGGUCAUGAUCUUGCAGUCCGUGAGUUCAAGCCCUACUUCAGGCU